GUAUUCAUAAAGGAUAUUGGUCUGUAGCUUUGUCUUCUUGUAAUGUCUUGGUCUGGCUUUGGUAUCAGAAUAAUGCUGGCCUCAUAGCAUGAUUUAGCAUUGCAAAUCAGCUUCUCUGGUCUUUACCUAUUACAGCCAUACCUAUCCACUUAAAUAUUCAACCAUCGGUUUAAACUCAGUUGUUCUGAAAUGGACUACUUUCUCCAGAAAACCUAUUUUAUUUGGAGUUUUAUGGUUUUGGGUCUUAGAGUUCUGUCUUUAAUCCAUGUCAAGUUAGUCUUUGUGUAUAGUGUAAGUACUUCUAGUACGGUGUUGAAUAAAAGUGGUGAGAGUGACCAUCUUUGACUUGUUCCUGAUCGUAGAAGAAGUUUUCAACUUUUCACCAAUGAGUAUGUUACUAGCUGUGUGUUUGCCAUAUAUGCCCUUCAUUAUGUUGAGGUAUGUUUCAUCUAAACCCACUUUGUUGAGAGUUUUUAUCAUGAAUAAAUGUUACAUUUUGUCAAUUGGUUUGUAUACAUCUAUUGAGAUAAUCAUUGUUUUAUCCUUUUGUUAAUGUGAUAUAUCACAUUGAUUCGUGGAUACUGAAAUAUCCUCAUAUCCUUGGAAUAAAUCCCACUUGAUUAGACUGCAAUAGACAUUUUUUUUAUUGGAAAACACACAGAUGGCCAACAGACUCAUGAAAAUAUGUUCAUCACUAAUCAUCAGGAAAAUGCAAAUCAAAACCACAAUGAUAUAUUAUUACCUUACACCUUUUAGAAAGGCUAGAAUCAAAAAGACAAGAAAUAACAAGUGUUGGUGUGGAGAAAAAGUAAUCCUCAUGCACUGUUGGUGGGAAUGUAAAUUGGUUGCAACAACUGUGAGAACAAUAUAGAAUAUAGAAUCCCUGAAAAAGUUAAAAGUAGAAAUACCAUGUGAUCCAAUAAUUCCACUACUGAGUUUUUAUCCAAAGAAAAUAAAAACACUAACUUGAAAAGAUGUACACCUCCAUAUGUUUAUUGCAGCAUUAUUUACAGUAGCCAAGUUAUGGAAACAACCUAAACAUCCAUGGAUAGAUAAAUGGAUGAUAUCUGAAUAUUAAUCAGCCUAAAAAAAGAUGAGAUCUUGGAUUUGCAAACAACGUGGAUGGCCCUAGAGAGUAUUAUGCUAAGUGAAAUAAGUCUGACAGAGAAUGACAAAAACCUUAUGAUUGCACUUAUAUGUAGAAUCUAAGAAAUAAAACAAUCAGAAACAGAUACAUAAAUACAGAAAACUAACUGACAGUUGCCAGAGGAGAGGAUGGCGGUGGAUAGGCAAAAGGGGUGAAGGAGAGUGGGAAGUGCAGGCUUCCAAUUAUGAAAUGAAUUAGUCAUAAGAAUGAAAGUUAUAGCAUAGGAAUAUAGUCAAUGAUAUUGUAAUAGUGUUGCAUGGUGACAGAUGGUAGCUACACUUGUGGUAAACAUAGCAUAUAGAAUUGUUAAAUCAUUAUGUUGUACACCUGAAACUAUUGUAACAUUGCAUGUCAACUAUACAUCAAUGAAACAUUUGUUGUAUUUUUAUAUAUUAGCAAAAAUUAAAAAUUUCCAUGGAAAAAAUGCUAUUAACAGUAGCUUCAGCAUAUGUUAAAUACUUAUGGAUUAAUCUGAGAAAAGAUGUGUAAGACUGAGAAAAAUCAGAGGAGACCUUAGUAAGUAGUGAGAUAUAUUGUUUCCAUGAAUCAGAAGGAAGACUUGAUAUUAUUAAAAUGUUAAUUAUUCACAAUUUAUCUACAGAUUAACUCAAUCUCAAUUAAAAUGUUGGUAUGCUUUUUUUAAAAAAUUGACUAAAAAAGAUGGUUCUCAAAUUUACAUGGAAAUAUAAAGAACCUAAAUUAGCCAAAACAAAUUCAAAAAAGAACAAAUUUGGAGGACUUGACUAGCUGAUUUUCAAGUCUUAAUAUAAUGCUACGGUAAUCAUGACUAUGAUAUUGGCAUAAAGAUAAACAAUUAGAUUGAUUUUUGCCAGCAUCCAUGAAACUGUGGCAGGCCAACUUGUCAGCUUGCAAGUAGGAUAAAAUCUCAGACCCUUCACAGUUCUUGACACAAGAGCCUUCAAAGUUAUUUGUGAUAAUAUAUUUCUUAAAUUGGGUUGUGAGUACGUGGAUCUUCAUUUAAUGUUUAUUCUCUAUAUUUUACAUACACAUUAUAAGUUAUUUUUAUAUGAUACAUUUAAUAAUAAAAACAAAAGAAUACUAAACUUAUUUGGAAAAAUUCAGUAAAUCCAUGUCACUAAAAAUGGUGCUGUCAAGCCAAAUGGGAUUAUGACCUCUAUAAAUAAUUGAGAAUAAUAUCACACAACAUAGUACACUUGAUCUUAGCCAAGAGGCUGAGAAGCGAUGAGAUCACACAACGUAGGAUUCCUUACUCAGUAUGCUUUACAAGUUUUGACUCCAUGCAGAAAGAACCAAAACUAGAAAUCAUUGAUGACACUUAUGGGUGAAUUUUAUACAAGAAAAAUUACAAUAUAUUGGGAAAGGAAUGUACAUUUAUGUUUUAAGUUAAAACAUAAGUUAAAAAAAUAUAUAUCCUUCCUUUUUGUUUUCUGCUUUAAAGGAGUUUUUUAAAAAAUUAGUCAACCCUCUCCUUGUCUCUGUGGCAUUGGUAUGUGGGCUUGCAUCAUAUUUUAAUUAAUUAAUGUAGCAAACGGGUUUUUAGGUAAAUGUUGCUUGGAUAAUUGGCUUUUCAUUUAAGUAAAAGCUCAAGAGCUUAGGGAGAACUUCAAAUCUCCAUGGCACCCAGGGGCUUAUUUUCAGCUCUGAGUACAACAGGAAACCUGACAUUGAUUUUGGCUGAGAUAGAGCCAUUCAAGGAGACAUGGUAAGUCUAGAAGUAAUUGCAUAUUUAUAGAUGAGAUUUCAGGUGAAGAUGCAGGACUUCAAUAAUGAGACCUGAUAUCCUUGAAAUUUGGAUUUUAUUUUCCCUUGACUAUUCGUGUCUUGAGUCUUUCAAGUUGCUUCAUGUUUCCCUCUUUCCUGACAGGUGAAUAUCAGGGAAGGCAGAUAUAUGGUGAGAGAAGGAGAGAGAUUAAAGAGAGGAAGGUAGAAAGAUACUGGAAAAGAAAGAGGGGAAGCAAGGAAGAUAGAAGAAAGGGGCCAAUCAGGAAAAUAAAUAGAUUUAGCAGAACAGAGAGAAA
rnacentral:lncRNA from 1 species